GAUGAACGCUGGCGGCGUGCCUAAUACAUGCAAGUCGAGCGAAUGGAUUAAGAGCUUGCUCUUAUGAAGUUAGCGGCGGACGGGUGGGUAACACGUGGGUAACCUGCCCAUAAGACUGGGAUAACUCCGGGAAACCGGGGCUAAUACCGGAUAACAUUUUGAACCGCAUGGUUCGAAAUUGAAAGGCGGCUUCGGCUGUCACUUAUGGAUGGACCCGCGUCGCAUUAGCUAGUUGGUGAGGUAACGGCUCACCAAGGCAACGAUGCGAAGCCGACCUGAGAGGGUGAUCGGCCACACUGGGACUGAGACACGGCCCAGACUCCUACGGGAGGCAGCAGUAGGGAAUCUUCCGCAAUGGACGAAAGUCUGACGGAGCAACGCCGCGUGAGUGAUGAAGGCUUUCGGGUCGUAAAACUCUGUUGUUAGGGAAGAACAAGUGCUAGUUGAAUAAGCUGGCACCUUGACGGUACCUAACCAGAAAGCCACGGCUAACUACGUGCCAGCCGCCGCGGUAA
rnacentral:rRNA from 1 species